UACGUAGGUGGCAAGCGUUGUCCGGAUUUACUGGGCGUAAAGAGCGCGCAGGCGGUCGUUCAAGUCGAGUGUGAAAGCCCCCGGCUCAACUGGGGAGGGUCAUUCGAUACUGAUCGACUCGAAGGCAGGAGAGGGUAGUGGAAUUCCCGGUGUAGUGGUGAAAUGCGUAGAUAUCGGGAGGAACACCAGUGGCGAAGGCGACUACCUGGCCUGUUCUUGACGCUGAGGCGCGAAAGCUAGGGGAGCAAACGGG
rnacentral:rRNA from 1 species